rnacentral:lncRNA from 1 species
GGUAAAAGCGAGUGACAUCUGCAAAGUGGCACAGUGGAAAGCUAUCUUUAUCUUGUCCUUCCCAGAAGCAGCAGCGCCUGUCAUGACAGGUAACUGAGUGGCAAAGGGGCUUCAGACCUCAUCCCUCUGGCCACUGAGGAACCCACAACUCUGGCCCCCUGCCCCACCUUCCCACGCCAGUGGAGCCCACAAACCUUAGAAAGUCAAAUGACCACUACCAGCAGUGGCAGAGCCUGCAACCCUGGGGAUUCCAGACAAGAGGGAAGAGCCCACCAUCCCAACGCACCAGGUCGUAAGACACCAGCAACAGUGGCGGCAGCGAAGCACCAAUGACCC